GGAGAUAUAGCUCAGUGGUACAGCACAUGCUUAACAUGCACAAGGUCCUGGGUUCAAUCCCCAGUACCUCCA
rnacentral:tRNA from 1 species